AGUGGGUGCGAGCAUCUUUGUGGUCAAGUUGUGUAGGGCACAUGGUGGAUGUCUUGGCAUCAGGGGCCGAUGAAGGACGUGGGAGGCUGCGAUAAGCCUCGGGGAGCUGCCAACCGAGCUGUGAUCCGAGGAUGUCCGAAUGGGGUAACCCGGCACCCGUGAUGGGGUGUCACCCGCCGGUGAAUAUAUAGCCGGUGUGGAGGGAACGCGGGGAAGUGAAACAUCUCAGUACCCGUAGGAAGAGAAAACAACCGUGAUUCCGUGAGUAGUGGCGAGCGAAAGCGGAAGAGGCUAAACCGUGCACAUGGUAAAGCUGUCAGGCGUUGUGUGUGCGGGGUUGUGGGAGCCACUGUCCAGUAGCUGACACUGCUGGGGAUGCCGCGUGUGGUUAGCGGAACCGUCUGGAACGGCGGACCGGAGUGGGUGAGAGUCCC
rnacentral:rRNA from 1 species